rnacentral:lncRNA from 1 species
GACCAUCUCUAGCUGCUGAUUAAGCCAUUACUUGAUGCAUUGUAGCUGGGACUCUGAUUUACUAGGAAAAGGAGUAAAACGAAAAAAGAUGUUCUAUUCGAUGGAUGUGCAGUUAUGUACUGCAUUGGUUGUUCUUUGUGGAGGGGACGAGUGCCAGGCACCUUUAUUCAGCCAUAUUGAAGCCCCUCCCAUCCAUUAAUACUAUGCAAGAUGGAAAAUUCUUAAAUGUUUUAAAUGAAGGCUGAAGAGAACCAGUAAAGAAAGAUUUAAAGUAUGAAGGAGCAAUAAUAUGCCCCCACCAAUGUCUUUUCCUACUAAACUCAUCAAAACAAGUCACAGAGAAACAAUGGGCAAAAUGUAUUCACUUUUUAAAAAUCUUCACUUAAUACAUGGUUUUGUUGCAGUGUUCUUUUAUAUAGGAAGUCAAAUUUGUAACUUUUAAAAAUAAAUGAGAUUUUUGUUUAUUUGUUGUCUCGAAAACGUUUACAAAACUCACUGAAAGCAUAAACAAAGAUUUUUUUUGUACAUUUAAAAUAAUUUUAGAAAAACUAUCACAUAUGACUAGGACAUACAUUUACUAUGAAUCACAGCUUAUAUGUACAGCAAAUGUACAAUCCUUUUAAUUUGUCUUCAGUUAAUCU